UCCUCCCUUAUUUCCUCCUGUUCCCAGGGAAGGUAACCCUGAACAACGUAAGGCAGAGAAAACAAAACAUCGUUGGUUGUGAAACUCGCACCAUGAAGAGUUAGAAGGUGCUGAGUGCCUGGCGCCACUCUCCACACUUGGCGUGGGUGGUCUUGGUUAAUCCUCUCGAGGAGCCUGGGGGGAAGGAAUUGUCUCUAGAGCUAUUUUACAGCUCACUGCAUUAUUCCAACAUGUCACCUGGCUUGAGAACCACUGGUCUAGACCAACCCUACAAUUUACAGGUCAGGAAACCAAGGUCCAGAGGGGUAAACGGACCCACCCAAGGUCACCCAGCAAAGGCUCCUACAUUUAUCCACCCCCGACAGCCACGAAGCUCCCCCCUCGGAUCUAUCCCACAACCUCUUCUUGCCACUCAACUCCCUUUCCUCUGGUUAUUUUGUGUGGCGGAACAAGGGACACCUUGGCGGCCUUCUCCAUAAAGUCACCUUCAGAGACUUCAAGGUCAAUGCAAAUACCAGUCGUCAUAUGGGUCAGCCAGAGAAGCUUCUGGAAAUGUAACCUUUCCCCCGCCUCCAAAGCCAGGGCACAGGCUUCCCUGCAACCGUGUAAGCGACGGACUCCUUGCUCCCUUGCGAAUCGUGGCAGGAGGAGAGCAGAGGCUCUACUAGGAUCUCCUAAAUGGGCACAACUUCGGCCUCUCUGAGCCCCACGGCCCCUCCAGAGGAUGCUCAAUGGACUCCCCCAGUGUGCCACCAGAGAGGACAUCCACGGUCCUCUGGUUCAGUUCUCAGGCGGUGUCCUGACAAGUGACAGGAAACCACCACCGGGCCGUGGCAACAGGUGUCAGGGCAACCUGAGGCUUCCCGCCAGCCUGUCCACAGCCCUCCUUUUUCUUCCUCCUCGAGAGCUGUCUCCUUCCUCCCCACAGCCUGACAACCCCUCACCUCUCACCUUCAGGUCCUGUCCUUCUUGGGGGCCUAAGGCCUGAUCAAGACCUUCAAAGGCCUCCACACAAAAAAGACCGUCGUCUCUCUCUCCAAAUAUAAUUCCUGAUACUGAACAACCAGCACAAAAUGUAUAUACAUAAGCUGAAAUUAAAAGAGCUUUUUUGUUUUUA